rnacentral:rRNA from 1 species
AUUGAACGCUGGCGGCAGGCCUAACACAUGCAAGUCGAACGAGUGGCGGACGGGUGAGUAAUGUCUGGGAAACUGCCCGAUGGAGGGGGAUAACUACUGGAAACGGUAGCUAAUACCGCAUACCAUCGGAUGUGCCCAGAGGGGAUUAGCUAGUAGGUGGGGAAAUGGCUCACCUAGGGGACGAUCCCUAGCUGGUCUGCGAGGAUGACCAGCCACACUGGAACUGAGACACGGCCCAGACUCCGACGUGAGGCAGCAGUGGGGAAUAUUGCACAAUGGGCGCAAGCCUGAUGCAGCCAUGCCGCGUGUAUGAAGAAGGCCUUCGGGUUGUAAAGUACUUUCAGCGGGGAGGCGUUACCCGCAGAAGAAGCACCGGCUAACUCCGUGCCAGCAGCCGCGGUAAUUC